rnacentral:lncRNA from 1 species
UUCCAGCUUGGGCAAAAUGCCCAUGAAGAUGUGGGAUGAGAACACCAGCAUGAAGUGCAGAUAGUCCUCCAUCCGCCAUGAGUCCCUGCCAAAGCACACCUCUUAGUCCCUUGGCUGUGUGGGAGGCGAACAAGCCACCAGGGACUGACGGAGGGAAAGUCCAAAGCAAAACCUAAAACAACACUCCCGCCUCCUCAUAACCCUCUUCCCCCCCUACAACCCCCCCUCCCCCCUCCCCUCCCCUGCCCCUCCCCGUCCCUUCGUUUCUUUUGCUUAUUAUUAUGCCAGGCUACCGCUACCCGCCGUCGCAACUUCCACCAUCACCGUCACCGCCGUCGCCCCUGCCGCUUUCAACCCGACGUCACCCCUUCCAACAUCACCGUCACCGCCGUCGCCCCUCCAACAGCUGCCAACCCCACCGGUGCCUGAGCCAUCGUCACCAACCCUGCCGUCAACCGAGCCACCCGCCGUUGCUCCUUCUACCAUCACCAUGCCCGGNNNNNNNNNNNNNNNNNNNNNNNNNNNNNNNNNNNNNNNNNNNNNNNNNNGAGAGAGAGAGAGAGAGAGAGAGAGAGAGAGAGAGAGAGAGAGAGAGAGAGAGAGAGAGAGAGAGAGAGAGGGAGAGAGAGGGAGAGAGAGAGGGAGAGAGAGAGGGAGAGAGGGGGAGAGAGAGGGAGAGAGAGAGGGAGAGAGAGGGAGAGAGAGAGGCGAUAUUCAAGAACUAAAUACUUGAACAAGACAAUUGAGCACCUGACUUAGAUUCCAGCGUGCGCCUCACUUGCAAUAUGAGGACAAUUGCAUACACGGUACUUUCGCCGUGGGGCAACAAAUCGCCCUUACGGCACAGAAGCCAACGCGGUCUUGCCCCCAGGGCUAUUUUUACCUGUGCCACCAUGAGGGAGAUUCCGGCGAUGUCGCGGCUAUCCAGGUCGUACACGUGAGGAUGCGGAACACCGCCGACGCCACCGAUGGUGCCAGCCGUGUUGGUCGCCAUGGCAGUGUAUGGAGGAAGCUGGUGAGCCGUGGCCAUCGGAUGAUGUGCAUGGCAGGAGGAAGGACUUGGGGUUCCAAGCGACUCCUCGCUCUGUGGGGUCCGGGGUUGACAGCCGAGUCGGUCGUAAUGAGGCCACUCGGUCGUAACCACAGCCACUGCAAUAUUCUACUCUUCCCACCCAAGUCAAGGAUGUACCAGCAGCGCUGAUGGACAACUUUCCAAGGACACAGACCGAAAGUUCCCAGCGGAAAUUCAUCCUCCUCAGCCACAGUGGCAAAUUCAAGCAGGUGCUGCCGAGCCUUUGCUGCUGCCUCCACAAACGCCUUGUGGCUGCGAUACUGACACGGAGUGAAGUAAUGCAUUACAGCGGCGUCCAGGUGGGCCCACAUCCUCUCUUCCAGCUUGGGCAAAAUGCCCAUGAAGAUGUGGGAUGAGAACACCAGCAUGAAGUGCAGAUAGUCCUCCAUCCGCCAUGAGUCCCUGCCAAAGCACACCUCUUAGUCCCUUGGCUGUGUGGGAGGUGAACAAGCCACCAGGGACUUACGGAGGGAAAGUCCAAAGCAAAACCUAAAACAACACUCCCGCCUCCUCAUAACCCUCUCCUCCCCCCCUACAACCCCNNNNNNNNNNNNNNNNNNNNNNNNNNNNNNNNNNNNNNNNNNNNNNNNNNUGUACUUAUGUCUUUGCGUCUAUUAUGGCGCAGGACAGAGCACUUUACAGUUCAAUAUGCCAGAGCAUCAUCCCUUCCUGCCUGGGUGUUAUUGGCAUGUGGCAAAGCACACAUUACCUCGGACAUGCACCUGGACCUGCUACCAACACACAUGUGCUUCAGGCAUAUGGAACAACAAACUAGGUGGAUAGAGCACAUCCAAUAAUCAAGGCAAUGCUGAGAAGCCAGCGGCCCACCGUACAAUGCUACAAAACAUGCAUGUUUUUGUGCACCAGUCGAGGAUAAACUCGAGUCUAGUCUGCGGCAAAGGACCCAUAUAUGCAACCACGACACCACUGGUGCUCCCUCAGACAAACCUAUUACGGGCACCAGAGAGGCAUACCCAUAUACCUAGGUAUAUAGAACACGUGAUUCUGUGCACAUUGUAUGUCUGCAUGUGUGUAACUCUUGAUAUAGUUGUGUGCAGUGGUGCUCACUCGAGCAGUUCCCGUGUCUUACAGAGCACCAGUGGUAUAGUGGUAGCAUAGGUCCUUGCCACGGACCAGACCCGAGUUCGAUUCCCGGCUGGUGCAGCAGUGACUCGCAUGUUUUGAAGCAUUCUACGGUGAACCACAGGCAUCUCACUGCCUUCAUUUGUGCAUGCACGCCCCCAUGCAUGUGCACGAUCCUCCAUACCUACUUCGAAUUUGUUGUCCCACAUGCCCGAAGCGCGUGUGUGCUGGUUGCAGGUCCAGGUGUAUGUCCUGGGUAUUAGGUGCAUUGUUGCAUGCCAAUAACACCCAGGCAGGAAGGAAUGAAUGCUAUGGUGUAGUGAACUUUAAAGUGCUCUGUCCUGUGCAAAUAGAUGCAAAGGCACACGCACACAGCAGGGAGACAAGCAAACAAGUGAGGGACUGCAAAUAAAGUGCAAUACAGCAUAUGUGUAUGCAUGUAUAUGUGUACAUAUGUCAUCCAUCGUCAUGCGUGUACACGGCUGGCCACAAACAGGAUUACAUAUGCCAGGUUUUCUUAUUAGUGCACUCUGUGAGUGCAGUAGUGCAAGUACAGCUCUCCAUCCAUCAUAACCGACCUUAGCUUGCAUUCAAAGGUGCUAGCACCAAAUCCAUAGCUCCAUGAUUAAGAGAUUUGUAGGGAGCACCAUACACUCGUUGGAUUAGAAUACAUGUAUCCAGCAGACACACACACACACACACACACACACACACAUAAACACAUAAACACAUGUGUCUAGGUGCAUGUACAUGCACAAACAUUUGGACAUGCACAUACCAUGUGUAUGUGUAUGUCGCCGACCUAUUGCAGCGGCUUGCAAUUGUUUUCUCGAGGAGGUCUUGGACAUCACAGACUGGGUACAUCACACGCAGGCGCAUCGAGCCCAGGGGAGCGGGAGAUCCUCUAGAGGAUCUCAAGAUCCAUGCUGAGCACCACCGUAAUGGCUUCUGACCAUCCAUGGGCCCCCUUGGCUCCCAGAGGUGGUCCCCAUCCUUGUGCUCACUUUUAUGUAUAUGUUACAUUCUGGACAACAUUGAAGUCCAAGGGGGGGAGUUGUAAAAGUUUAUCAUUGUGAUUAAGGUCCUGAUUAAGGUCCUGGGUUCGAUUCCUGGGGAGACCCCCGAAUUAGUCGGGAGCGCGAUAUUAUGGCUAGCUGCUGAGAUGUGGAGUUGAGGUCACAGUUGAUGGACCAGAUUCGCACGCUGGAUUGGUGGCGAUUGCCGAACCCUCCGUCUCAUCGGGUGUUCGGGUGAAUGGAUGAGGAGGGGUCCCUGAAGGCUGGAUCCGCCGCCUUGGACUUACAGUUCGUAUGGCGAAGUACAGUGUGGUAGUGGUGGAUGGUGCUGUAAGGUGAUAAAUGAUCUAGAACUGACAAUGUGAUAAAGCGGCCCAGAAGCCUCCCACUCUGUAACAUUACAUUUGUAACAUUACAUCAUUGUGAUAGAGGAUUGGUGGUUGUGAUGUCGCAGGCUCAAUUCCCACUCAGCACAUUAUGAUGACACUUCAAAUCCAUGGGAUGAACCUUGGUGUCAUUGAAUCCAAGCCAAAACAGAGUACAACUUGUACAGUACAAGACAUGUGCCAGAGCAUAUCUGAAGUGGGCUCCAGGAAAGAAGGGAUGGUAGACAACGCCAAAAUCACAUGCUCAAAGUCGGUUUCAGAACAGACAGGCAAUACAUAUAGGGAUUCAAAAACUCUACACAUCUCUAGAUAGGGGCUGCAUACACAUAUAUAACAUAACACAAUUCUGAAGAUAAUUAGCUGUCCUCGACACUUUCAUCCCUUAUUGCAUGUUGGGCGAUAAUCAUGGCCAUUAUUAUUGUUACAUUAUGCCAUAGGUUCAUCCUUAGGGCAAAGGCUCUACUCGGUUUGGUUGGAGCUGCUUGUCGGGCAUCCACGAUCCACGAGUUGUGGCGAGAGUUGAAGGUAGGUGUGCACAUGAGAAUCGAGAUGGCGCAGCGGAAGCGUGCGGGGCUCAUAACCCCGNNNNNNNNNNNNNNNNNNNNNNNNNNNNNNNNNNNNNNNNNNNNNNNNNNNNNNNNNNNNNNNNNNNNNNNNNNNNNNNNNNNNNCACCCUAGCCACCCGCCGUUGCUCCUUCUACCAUCACCAUGCCCGGCGCCGUCCCUGCCGCCGUCGGCAUAUGCAUCCCCGCCGUUGCCCGAGCUACCGUCGCCAUAUGCAUCCCUGCCGUCACCGCUGCCGCCAUCACCUCUGCCACCGUCGCCAACCCCGCCAUCGCCCUAGCAACCCGACGUCACCCCUUCCAACAUCACCGUCACCGCCGUCGCCCCUCCAACAGCUGCCAACCCCACCGGUGCCUGAGCCAUCGUCACCAACCCUGCCGUCACCCUAGCCACCCGCCGUUGCUCCUUCUACCAUCACCAUGCCCGGCGCCGUCCCUGCCGCCGUCGGCAUAUGCAUCCCCGCCGUUGCCCGAGCUACCGUCGCCAUAUGCAUCCCUGCCAUCACCGCUGCCGCCAUCACCUCUGCCACCGUCGCCAACCCCGCCAUCGCCCUAGCAACCCGACGUCACCCCUUCCAACAUGACCGUCACCGCCGUCGCCCCUCCAACAGCUGCCAACCCCACCGGUGCCUGAGCCAUCGUCACCAACCCUGCCGUCACCCUAGCCACCCGCCGUUGCUCCUUCUACCAUCACCAUCCACGGCGCCGGCCCUGCCGCCGUCGCCGUAUGCAUCUCCGCCGUUGCCCGAGCUACCGUCGCAGUAUGCAUCCUGCCGUCACCGCUGCCGCCACAACCUCUGCCACCGUCGCCAACCCCGCCAUCGCCCUAGCAACCCGACGUCACCCCUUCCAACAUCACCGUCACCGCCGUCGCCCCUCCAACAGCUGCCAACCCCACCGGUGCCUGAGCUACCGUCACCAACCCUGCCGUCACCCUAGCUAUCCGCCGUUGCCCCAUCUACCAUCACUUUCCCCGGCGCCGUCCCUGCCGCCGUCGCCGUAUGCAUCCCCGCUGUUGCCCGAGCUGCCGUCGCCAUCCCAGCCAUCACCAAAAGCACCGUCGCCCCUGACGCCAUCAACCCUGCCACCUUCGCCAUCCCCGGCGUCACCCCUGCCACCGUCACUAUCCCCGCCGUCGGCCCUGCCACCGUCACCAAGCUCGCCCUCGCCUUAGUACCCCGCCGUCUCCCCUUCCACCAUCACCGUCACCGCCGUCGUCCCAUCCACCGUCGCAAUCCCCGCCGUCGCCCCUGACACCGUCACCAACCCUGCCGUCACCCUAGCCACCAGCCGUUGCUCCUUCUACCAUCACCAUCCCCGGCGCCGUCCCUGCCGCCAUCGGCAUAUGCAUCCCCGCCGUUGCCCGAGCUACCGUCGCCAUAUGUAUCCCUGCCGUCACCGCUGCCGCCAUCACCUCUGCCACCGUCGCCAUCACCCAAAGUACCGUCGCCCCUGCCACCAUCGCCAACCCAACCGUCACCCGAGCCACCGUCACGAAACCCGCCAUCACCCCAUCCACCGUCGCCAUACCCGCUUCCACCGUCGUCAUCCCUGACGUCUCCCCUGCCACCGUCACCAACCCCGCCAUCGCCCUAGCCACCGGCCGUCGCCCCUUCACCGCCCCUUCCACCGCCGCCGUCGCCGUUGCCCGAGCAACCGUCGCCAUCCCAGCCAUCACCCAAAGCACCGUCGCCCCUGACGCCAUCACCCCUGCCACCGUCGCCAUCUCCGCCGUCACCCCUGCCACCGUCACUAUCCCCGCCGUCGGCCCUGCCACCGUCACCAUCCCCGCCUUCGCCCCUGCCACCGUCACCAACCCCGCCAUCGCCCUAGCCACCCGCCGUCGCCCCUUCCAACAUCACCGUCCCCGCCAUCGCCCCUGCCACCGUCGCCCCUGCCACCGUCACCCGAGCCACCAUCACCGCCAUCCCCGUCACCUCCCCACUACCGUCACCUAACCCUCGCUUGAUCUCUCUACCCCCCACCCCCCUCUCCUGUCUUCCUCGCUCCUUCAUUGUGCGUUCACGUAAUCCGAUGAUGCAAAGGAGGAUAGACAUUUCUAUAUAUAUCCCUUAUGGACUACGGUCUCACCUGUUAGGUUGUCGGGGCUCCACUGCAUUUGUUUGGCCCUUCGGCGGACUCCACUCCAUGUCCACCGCCACUGGAGACGGGGCGCCUACACUG